CAUUUACUCAUUUAACAGAUAUAAAUAGAUUGUCUGCCGCGUGAGUCACCGUGGCUUGUGCUGGGGCUUCGGCAGAAAGCAGGACAGCCACGGAGACCAUGUGACAAGGGCUGCAAAGGGGCACCGAUAAUUGCGAAAUCUGUUCGUUGUGUGACAGUGCUCUGGCCCGGCGAGAACGCGGCAUUUCCUCUUUGCUCUUUGUUUAGGCGAAUCACCAGAAUGACCACAAAAGGCUACCUGCAGAGCCCACCUGCUUCCCGAAAGCCCCCAGGCCCUGCCUGCUGCACCCAACAAGAACACAGGCGACCUAUUUGUGAACAUGAAGAUACAGCUUUGGCUUCUGGGAACUACGAUCCAUGCAGCUGAGCCAGGGUGAGAACCAGGAUUCUCUCCCUGGUUCCCCAUCAGGGCCCCUCGGAGGGGGAGCUGCAGCCUGUGAGCUUUGCAGUCUGGCGGGCCUGGUUUCCAGUCCUGGCUCUGUCCGUCAUCUCUGAGCUGGGUGACCCUGGGCAAGUCACUUGCCCUCUCUUGAAUUGCAAUGUCUGAAUCUGUAAAAGACAUACAAUUCAUUAUGGGUUUGGGGAUAAUUAUUUUUUUAAGGAUUUUAUUUAUUUAUUCAUAAAAGACACACACACAGAGGCAGAGACAUAGGCAGAGGGAGAAGCAGACUGCAGGACCCGGGGAUCACGUCCUGAGCCAAAGGCAGACACUCAGCCACUGAGCCACCCAGGAGCCCCGGAUCAAUCACGAUUUAUAAGGAGAAAUCAGAUUCAUAUGAUUUUAAUGACAGAGGUGAGGUGGAACAAGGUGACAUUCGGCCUUCCGGCUCCUGCUGUCAUGCUGUAGACAAGUGUCCUCUUCAUAGUUCCUUCAGUGCCACGUUUUUCACGUUUUUAUGCUUUUUUUGUCCAUGGUUUUGCUGUUUAAAGCAGCCUCUAUGCACAGAGCUGAGGUGCGGCCUGGUGCUCCUCCGUGCAAGGAGGCCAAGAUGUGCCUCAUGGAGGAAACAGGAGCAUCAGCUCAGUGUGGCUCAGGCAUGAGUGACAGCGCUGCUGGCUCGGAGUUCAGCGCUAAAGAAUCCACGUACAUAUUAAAUAAGUUGUCUUUAAACAUAAACGCACACAGGGGAGCCUGGGGUCUCAGUCGGUCAGUGUCUGCCUUUGGCUUAGGUCAUGCAUGAUCCCAGGGUCCUGGGAUCGAGUCCUGGGUCGGGCUCCCUGCUCAGCAGAGAAUCAGCCUCUCCCUCGGCCUCUCACUGUGCUUUCUUGCUCUGGCUCACUCGCUGUCUCUCAAACAAAUAAAUAAUUAUUAAAAAAAACAACCAGGGCAGCCCAGGUGGCUCAGUGGCUUAGUGCUGCCUUCAGCCCAGGGCCUGAUCCUGGAG